UGCUCUGAUAUUUAUUUGCACCUGGCCUUGGUGGAUCACUGGAACCUUGCCCAGUGCCAGUGAAAUAUACCAUGACAUCUUCUGGCAGGCUUCGCUUCUAUUUGCUGAAGAUGUUUUCACAUGAACAUCCUUCUGGUAGGCGCCUGCAGGCGGGACGUCCAUGCCACAUGAGGAACGAGCUCUUGCUCCAUUUUACUUGUGGACACAGAACGUUGAAUCUUCAACUGAGAACGAGGCAGAUUAAUCCUUCCCCCGAAAGGAAAAUUAUUGAAGGCAGCAGAGUUCUGCCUGAGUAAGCCACAUGCCCAGAGCCCCAUCGGUGUUUCCUGGAUGUCUCUGUGGAAGCAGCUCUUCCGUCUGCCCAAGAGGAGCGUGUGUCAGUGAGCGGUGUGUGCUCGCCAUUGGUGUGGACUGACAUUAUCAACCGCAGAACUGUAAAGGCCAGAGGGUACGCCAGGCACAGUAAAGGCUCCAAAUACAGGGCCUAGGCUCAGCAAACAUUUGGCUUGAGUUUUUCAUGGAUUUUAUCGUACACUGUCAAUUACUAUAGAGUAUUUGUGGCUCAGUUGUAUAUUCUUAUCACAAAAAUGUGGCUACUGCUCUUUUGGCUAUUUAACAGGCCUCAGACAUCUGGCAGAAACUGUUUAUUUAAAUAUUUCUUCACAAGACAAACAUGCUUCCUCACACACUGAAAGAAUUCCAUGAGUGUUUUUAUAAGUCAGCCUGAGUAAGAAAAGCAUUGUUCUGAGAGAAAUUUAACUGCAUUGUGGUUACCAAAUAUUUAAUAUUUUAAAGAGGAAGUUCUAAAAUUUAAUAGAUGAUUUUAUUAUUACUCUUUGAAUGUAAUUAACUAGGGAUGCACUUUAAACUGCUCUAUUCUGGUUACUGAAAUAGGUUUUAUGGUUUACACUGGGGGAAAAACCCUCUGUCAGACUGUGGGCCUCUCCCUUGGCGCACAUUAUUAUGGUCUCUUUAGAGACCAGCACGCCAUUUUGCUGUCAGUGGUCUUGUUCUAGUAGAGCAGGUUUAUAUAUGCAAUCCUCUUGGGAAAUAGUGUCAGAAAAAGGAUCCCCAGUUAGCAGCUGACAUAGUUCCUCCUCACAGUCAGAAGAGCGCCUCAAGCAGCAAAUGAACACAUAUUUCAUUUUUUAUGUGCUGAUAAAAUGUUAUAUCAUUAAGUCAAAAGAACAUAUUUGUCUCAUGUAGGUUGACUUUAGGAGAUAGCUCUUGCUUUCAGUAUAAACGAGGGCUUGUGGCUCAAGAGAAAAUGCUCUGCAGAAGCCAGCUGGCUAGAGCCUGAGAGAAAGCGGCCUGUAAGCAUCAAAUGCCAGUUUCUCCAGGGCUGUCGGCACACUCAUGGUCCGUUCUCAGAUACUUUAAGUACCGAGAGGGCUACAGAGGAAGCCAAACUGUGUGAAGUUUAGUUUAUACUUGUAUAUAUUUUCAAACACUCAAUUGCUUUAUCAGAUCACAGAAUCCAUCCACUCAUUUAUCAGCAAAUAAAUGUUUAGCAGCAACAAAUAUUUGGUAGGCGCUAUUCUAGGCUCAUGCAAAAGGGUAUAAAAUACAAGUGCUUGUUCCGUAGGAGAGCUUGUCUGGUGAGGAUGUCAGACAGACAGGAAGAUCUGAUCACAGAGAGCACGUCCUCCACAUGAAUGCGCUUGGCUGUUCUAUUACUAGGUGCCGUGCCCAUCAGCGUGAGCCCAGAAGUGCUAGUCAGCAGCUGGAUGGCACCUGGUACACAGCAAAAACUUUUUGGAUAAAUUAAUUAGUGGUGAAACUGAUGCUAUUAAAAAUGAGUGUAAUGACUGUCCUGGCUAGUUUUUAUGUCGGCUCGAUACAAACUAGAAUCGUCUGAGAGGAGAGGGUGCAGCAAUGGGCUAGGGCCUCUCAUGGCAAUUACUAAGGAAAUGUCCCCAAAGUCCUGGGUUCUAUAAGACAGCAGGCUGAACAAGCCGUAGGAGCAAGCCAGGAAGUAGCGCCCUCCACAGCUUCUUCAUCAGCUCCUGCCUCCAGGUUCCUUACCCAUUUGAGUUCCUAAAUUGUCUUCCCUCCAUGGACUGUGGUUCAGGAUGUGCAAGCCAAAUAAACCCUUGCCUCCCCAA